AUUUGAUUAUUUUGUGGGU
rnacentral:miRNA from 1 species